AUGCGGAGGUGCAGGUGUGCAGGGCAGUGGAGCUGCACCCGGCGGGCUGCGGUGCGGAGCGCGCUGGAUGGGGGCAUGGGAGCGCUGCUCAGCAUCCUGCUGAAAAGAGACACGCAGCAGCAGCUUUGUGGGAGGGCAGCAAGCCAGAAGAAGACAUCGUGGUGACACACCGCGGGACUCUUCAUGCGAGCCAAUGAUGUCUUUCCAGUUGCUUCUCCCCUAAAGAAAAACCUCAAUCUCUGUACAAAGACCUUAAUCUCUGAUGUGGAACUUCGUCAAAUGCUGUCUGGAAGUCUGAAGGCAGGCUGCCCACCGCGGGAAGUCACAAGUCCUCCUCCAAAAGCAGAGGUUUUCCAAGGGAACACAGAGAUAGAAAUUUUAUACAAAAUGGAACUGUUGGACAGGAGGUUUUCAAGUGGAUCACCCAAUUUGCAGCUGCUUUUAGCUCGCUGCAGACACUUGGUUCUGAGCCAGUGACGAGUUUCCUUCACGCCUCCGUCUUCUGUGGAGCCAGAGAAAAAGCAAGGCAUACCAUUUUCCUCUGCAGAUGGACACAACCACUUCUUCCCAAAUCCCCUCCCAGCUCACCCAGACGUUGUCUCUGCUUUUCCGUGAGCAUCAGAGAGCUACUGGAGUGGGUGUGCAGCAUGCUGGGGCUCAGCUUCCUCAGCCCCAGCACCACUUUUGUCCCCCCAGCACCACUCCUGAGCAGCAGGGCUGCCCCUUACUGCAGACCGAAAGCAGGGGAGCCGGGCAGAUCCAGUGAGUUGCCUUAGCUGGGAGCUGAGCACUACACCAAUGCCCUCAGCCUCUUCCUCUGUUGUUGAGAGAUGUGGCUGAGGUGGUCGCACUUAAAACAGCAUCGUUUUACCUCUUUUUGUAACACACAGCCAAAGAAGCACUUUGUGCUGUCAAUUUAGGAAAAACUAGAGGCAAUGCCUGCUUCCAUGCCUGCUGCAGAGGGUUAUCAUCAGAUGUUGUGGUGGGAUUUAGAAAAAGGCUCAGACAGUUUUAGGGCCUCUAAUAACACUUGCAGUUACACAAAGUAAGGUAACAAUAAUGGUAAUUAAGUCUCAUGCCUCUGACGUUCAGCAUCCCCCCUCCCCGUGUCCCUUGCAAACACUCGAGGACGAUUGGCACAGCACAUUCCCAUUCUGAAGUCCCGUGGUUUUGCACAGUCAUGUGCUGCAAGGAGCACAUCACAAUCCUUCUGUAAAAUCAGGCUGUGGUGCUCUGAAAAACCUCACCAAUGUGUUGAAAAGGAAAACCUCUUAAAAGGUUCCUCUCAUCACGAGGAAGAAGUUCUUCCCAUGGGAUGCUGCUUUAUCAGUACUGUGCAGGCAUGUAAGAGGAGGUUGGGAAGGAGGAGUAGAGAGAGUUAGAAAAGGGCUCCAGAGAACAGGAGAGACCAUGCUGGGUGCAGACGAAGGCCGUGCUCCAUUUGGAGCCUGGUGCCAGGACAGGGGACCCGUCCCCUCCUGCAUGGGGGCUGGGUGCUGCGGUCACACACCCGCCGUGCCCGAGGCGCUGCUCAGCCCGCAGCUCGCCUGCACCGGGUGGCAGAAACCUGGCUGCUGGAGGGGCCCUGCUGCUUGUGGGCAGGUGGGAGAGCCUGCACUGCUCCUCUGCACCUUCCUCUGGGGUUGGAUGAUGGCAGAAGUGGAAAAAGUGGUUUCCAAGCAAGAUGAAGAUGCAGGCUUUCAUCAGGACAGCUCUUUUCUCCUUUCAUUAUUAGCCAGUCAUCACUCUUUGGGUGAUGAUCUCUUUUGUUGUGAGCUGUGUUAAUAUAGCCAAGUUAACCCUGAUUUUUGCAUUACCUUAAGUAAACUGGAUUUUUUUUUAUUUUUUUUUUUUCAGCUGAAAGUUUAAAUCUUGAUAUAUUUCUACCUGUAAUUCUGGUGUUGUGUCAUUCCUAAUAAUAAAAAGAUUAGUAGAUAUGUUCGUUGAUAUUCUGCAUAAGAAAUGAAUGGGAUUUCUUUUGCUUAUUUUUGGAAGCUGUUGCUACUAUUGCCAAUUCAUCCAGCACAAUGCUGCUAUUUUAGACAUACUUGCAGAAACCAUUAGUUUGUAGGCACCGUUUUCUCUAUUUAGCAUAUAUACAUGCACAAAAACUGUGGCUAUAAGGAGAUGAAAAUUUGUUGGAUUUCAGAAAACUUUAAAUCUGAUCCUAUUAAAAAUUAUUCUUAAAGAAUUGUGUGAAUAGUGUAUGAAAAUUAAUCAUAAUAUCAGAAAGCAGCAACAGGUGAAAAAUUAAAAAAUAAAUAAAUAAAAUUGGCAUGCUAUAAUUUCAUGUGCCAAUAUUGCUCAGUUCAUAUUUAAUUCAAAUAGAGCCUAAGCCCGUUCCUUCCUUCUGUUAUAUUGUUUUAUUAGAGAAGAUGCUAGCCUGUAUUAGCCACUUAUUAGAUAAAUACAGGAAAACUGCUUGUCAUUUAUGGGUUUAUCCAUUAUCAUCUCGAACAUCGGAUAGAGUAGCCUGAUUUCAAAGUGACAGCUGGUGGAACCUCUUCUUGAUACAUGCUAAUCCAGUUUUUAUUAUGGAAAAAUUGCCUGU